AACGAACGCUGGCGGCAUGCCUAACACAUGCAAGUCGAACGAGACCUUCGGGCCUAGUGGCGCACGGGUGCGUAAAGCGUGGGAACCUGCCCUUAGGUUCGGAAUAACUCCCCGAGUGGGGUGCUAAUACCGGCUAAUGUCUUCGGACCAAAGAUUUAUCGCCUUUGGAUGGGCCUGCGUUGGAUUAGUUUGUUAGUAGGGUAAAAGCCUAUCACGGCGACGAUCCAUAGCUGGGUUGAGAGGAUGGGCAGCCACACUGGGAGUGAGACACGGCCCAGAAUCCUACGGGAGGCAGGAGUGGGGAAUAUUGGACAAUGGGCGAAAGCAUGAUCCACCAAGGACGCGUGAGUGAUGAAAGCCGUAGGGAAGUAAAGCUCGUUUACCCGGGAUGAUAAUGACGGUACCGGGAGAAUAAGCUCCGGCUAACUCCGUG
rnacentral:rRNA from 1 species